AAUCCCCUGCCUGAUUGCUUCUAUACUAAAAUUGGAAUGAUUCAGAGAAAAUUACCAGGGCCCCUGAGCUAGGAUGACAUAUAAUUCAUAGAACAUUUCAUGUUUUAA
ensembl:snRNA U6 U6 spliceosomal RNA